rfam:Homo sapiens chromosome 1, GRCh38 reference primary assembly.
AUCCUUUUGUAGUUCAUAAGCGUGAUCACUGGGUGUUUACGCACGUGUGAGAUAUGCCAUCCUUGAACCUUGUUAUGAUGUCAGCACAUUACCCAUCUGACA